GGCACUUUGGCGGAGUGGUUAAGUAAGUACCCCAGCUGCUAAGCCAGUUCCUUCGGGAGCGUGAGUUCGAAUCUCACAGGUGUCG
rnacentral:tRNA from 1 species